AGGAAGUUACCCCCAAAGGGUUGUUUCU
rnacentral:piRNA from 1 species